ensembl:lncRNA
ACGCAGCAGAUCUGAGUCGACUGGUGCGGCGGCACGUGCCGGAGGCCGAGUUUCUGGAGGUCGUAGGUCAGGAUCUGGUUUAUGUGCAGCUACACAUCCCUUUUUAAAGAGCUGGAUCUGGAGAAGAGCUCUCUGGGCGUCACGAGCUACGGGAUAUCAGACACGAGUCAGGAGGAGGUAGUGAUGCCACCGUUCUCCGUGUGUUUGGCUCUCAUCUUCUCACUGAUUGUUCCCCGUUUGUUGAAUAUCCCAAUCUGGAGCUUCGGCCCUGGAUGUGUGGAGCUUCACAGAAAACCUUCUAUAGUUUUGAUGAUCCUGGUGUCACCAGGAUUUGGGACGCGCUGCAUGAGCACCAACCCCAUACCAGAACUCAAAACACCACAGACACCCUACACAACCUCACGGCCCGAAAUAUGACCGACUUUCUGCUCAAGAGCUACCAGAUAUCAGGAAAAAUACGGGUGACGACUUCUACGGAUGUGGUGGUGUUGAUCUGCGUGUUCUUGCCAUGUCCUUCAUCCCGACCAGCUUCAUCCUCUUCCUCAUCCAGGAGCGCGUCAGUUCGUGAGCGUCAACCCCACCCUCUACUGGCUGGCCAGCUUCGCCUGAGACAUGGUACACCAGAAGCCCUUCUGCUCCGGAAGACGGAUGGGAUGGGGACAGGCACGCGAGAGCUAAAAAGAGGAGCUGAGAUAGCUAAUUAAAACUCUAUUAAAACUCUAUCAAUUUCCCGCUGAAUCCUGUUCUCUGCCUCCAUUGGUCCUGACAGCGAGACUCUCUUGUCAUGAGCUACAGUCUCAGUGGAGAGAGAUGAUUUCACCUUCCCUAAUAAAUCACUAAUAAAUCAAUUAGUGUCA